UACGGAAUGUGCAAACGUUAUUCGGAAUCACUGGGCUUGAAGAGUCCGUAGGCGGCUUGUUAGGUGAGGUGUGAAAUCCCUCGGCCCAACCGAGGAAUUGCGCUUCAAACCGGCAAGCUAGAGGAGGAUAGAGGUGGGCGGAACUGAUGGUGGAGCGGUGAAAUGCGUUGAUAUCAUCAGGAACACCGGAGGCGAAGGCGGUCCACUGGGUCCUUUCUGACGCUGAGGGACGAAAGCUAGGGGAGCGAACGGG
rnacentral:rRNA from 1 species